rnacentral:rRNA from 1 species
UACGUAGGGGGCGAGCGUUGUCCGGAUUUAUUGGGCGUAAAGAGCGUGUAGGCGGCCAGGUAGGUCUGCUGUGAAAACUCGAGGCUCAACCUCGAGACGUCGGCGGAAACCAUCUGGCUAGAGUCCGGAAGAGGAGAGUGGAAUUCCUGGUGUAGCGGUGAAAUGCGUAGAUAUCGGGAGGAACACCUGUGGCGAAAGCGGCUCUCUGGACCACAACUGACGCUGAGGCGCGAAAGCUAGGGGAGCAAACAGG